CCUACGGGAGGCAGCAGUGAGGAAUAUUGGUCAAUGGUCGGGAGACUGAACCAGCCAAGCCGCGUGAGGGAUGAAGGUACAGAGUAUCGUAAACCUCUUUUGUCAGGGAACAAAGGCGGGGACGUGUCCCCGGAUGAGUGUACCUGAAGAAAAAGCAUCGGCUAACUCCGUGCCAGCAGCCGCGGUAAUACGGAGGAUGCGAGCGUUAUCCGGAUUUAUUGGGUUUAAAGGGUGCGCAGGCGGUCUGUUAAGUCAGCGGUCAAAGCCCGGGGCUCAACCCCGGCCCGCCGUUGAAACUGGCAGUCGCGAGUUGGAGAGAAGUAUGCGGAAUGCGCGGUGUAGCGGUGAAAUGCAUAGAUAUCGCGCAGAACUCCGAUUGCGAAGGCAGCAUGCCGGCUCCACACGGACGCUGAGGCACGAAAGCGUGGGUAUCGAACAGGAUUAGAUACCCGUGUAGUC
rnacentral:rRNA from 1 species